rnacentral:lncRNA from 1 species
UGCAAUAUAAGAUAAUUCUAUCCAUUAGAGUCCUCUGCGUUUCAUGAGUUAAUGCUACAUGUAAAAUAACAAAAAAAAAAUGUCACCUGACAAAUGUUGUUUUAAGUCUCCAUUAGGCAUAAACUCAUAGAUGAGGGCCAAACUAUCUUCUUCAUAGCAAUACCCAACCAGGCUCACCAAAUUCGUAUGGUGCACUCUCAGAAGAAGUUCAACCUAAGGUAAGUGUAAAACUCAUGUCACGCUAAUCUAAUCCCAUGCUAAAAACAGAUAUAUACUUUCGUUGGGAAGAUGACAGAACUAUGGAUACCUCAGCUUUGAACUCCUUAUAGCCUUGAGUUGAAGAUUUAGAGAGUACUUUAACUGCCACUUGUUCAGAACCCUUUACAGUACCGUGAUACACCAUGCCGAACCCUCCUUUACCAAGAACUCUUUGAAAGUUAUUUGUCAUUUGGAGGACCUCUGAAUAUGUGAACCUUCUCUUGUUCCUAUUAGCAAAUGUACCUUCCCCACUUGAUGUCCUGGUUGGCAGGUGUAGAUCUGCAGUACAUCGGAAUAAGGAUGUUGCCAUAUUAUUUGUUAUGUGCAUAUACUCAUUCAAUGCAGAGAAAAAGUGGAUAGUCACAAGAUGUUUUGAGUUUUUUUUUAUUUGAUAUAGCUCUCUUGCGAGUACCUUUCACAACUGUUGACUUUUUCCUUCUGAGUACAAGAAAAAGAACCAAUACGGCAAUGACAAUGGCUGCAGAGACAACUGAUGCAACAAUUGCCAUAGGAAAUUUCUUCUUAGUUGCGUUUCGACUAAGAAGCCUUGGGUUUCCAUCAACACUGCAAUAAUACAAGGGAGAGUUGUGCAUGCACAUUAAAUGCAGAAAAGGGUCGUAAAUAAUACUUGAGAAAAGUUCAAAAGCUAUGUAGAGAGAUUCUUACGAUAGUUCUAGUCCUUUCUUCUGGAGAGCUUGAGGAAUCGAACCAUUAAGAUUGUUCCCGCUUAAGUUUCUGUUUAAAACGACUAUGAUCUGAGUUGGAAUUUGAAAAGCAUUAAAAUAUAUAUAUGUUGAGAGAAACUUACAUGAACGUCAAGGAUUUCAUGUUGCCUAGAAACUCUGGCACUCCUCCGGUCAAGUUAUUAUUCGACAAGUCCCUAAUGUUAGCAAGAGAGAAUAAAGACAGGAAAAUGUCUAUAAAAUGCCUCUGAUUAACAAUAUUAACACUUACAGUUUUUCUAGUUUUGUAAGACUUUCAAUGGCAGCUGUUAUGGUUCCAUUUAAACCACGUGAAGACAAGUUUCUAGUGACAUGCGCACUCAAAGUGUUAAUGACCAAGAUUACAAACAGAUCUUGAAGAGUGCAUGUGUACUACUUACAACGAAGUGAUUCUUGGUGGUGUAGACAUAUCCCUGAUGCUGCAGUUUAAUCCGUCCCACCUAAGUUGUUGAGGGACGCAUGGAUCACCUUGCCAGUUUAUUAUACUCAAUGCAUAUGUGGCUGCGAUGUCUUUUAUCGUAUCCACUGACAUAAAAAGGUUUUCUAUUUAGUACGCUAUUUUCCGAUGACUUACUUUUUCUUUACUUAACAUCAAGAAGCAUAGACCUUAUAUGCAUAACAUAACAUGGAAAAGAAAGUCACGUACCGUCGCUUUCAUCUGUUUCGCGCUGUGGGAAUGGAAUAACUUUGUAGACUUCAAAUGCAUUAAGUAGAGGUGGAAGAGUUGAGUUCUUGGUUCUUGUUAGCUGCAAAAUGCAUUUCCCUCCUUGGCAAGUUGCCGGUACCGCAGUUUGGAAAGUAAUUAGCUCAAGCUUCUUAGGAAUGAUAGGGUCAGAAAAAAAAAGCUUUCCGUUCAAUAUGAUGUUGAAUUCUCUGGUUUCAUUUGCCUGCAGGUCUUGGAUCUCAACAAAGUGUGCGUAAAAGUAAAAUUGGUCACUAGGAUUUGCUGAACUCCAUCUAAUCGUAAGUGGCGCACUGGUAUUAGUAGGCGUGGCAGCAUUUUUCAGUGCAUCUUCCGGUGGAACAAUAAUGUUGUUAUUUGUCACUGUGAGAUUAGUGGAAAUCUGUGUCCAUUCCUCCGUGAAGUACCGAUUCCAUAUGCGAUCAUAGACAUCUGUUUUCCUGUGAGUGGAAAAAAAUAUAGGUAAGCAGUAGAAUAGGUAAAUACACAAAGAUGAACUGUAUUAUUCACCAUCUUGAAAUGUUGUAACAUUAUCAUAUUGAUCGUCUUAAAAAAAAAACAUUAUCAUAUUGAUCGUCUUAAAAAAAAAAAAAAUGUAUGUUUAAAGAAAGAUACAAGGGCGCCGCAAAAGACAAAUGAAAAAAAAAAGAAACAGAAAAGAACAGAGACAAAAUAAUUGAAAAGAAAAAAAAAAAAAAAAAAAAAACAGAGCAGAAAGAAGAUAUACCGUAACUGAGGAGAUCCCGACUUGCUAUUAUAAAUCCGAUAUAAUAAACUCAGGGAACCAUUCUGAGUUAUAUAUAUAUUUCCCAUUGGCCGUAAUUCCAAAGCUGUUAUUACCGGUGUAGUGUUCCCAGUCUUAACAAGACAUAUAUGCAAGGAUUUAGAUGUUGAGAUGUGUAAGAUCUCUACUCGUGUACCAUUCACUAGUGUUUCUAAAUCUAUCGUGUCCCAUCGAUUAGGUCCAAGAUAAAGAUCAAACACCGGGGCAUUGUCCUGACCAUCAUAAUUUCCAUAGAGAAAGUGAGCCCUGAUCAGAUAUUUACGUCCCUUGUCAACACUCAGAUUGUAGCAGUUCCGUAUUCCCUCUGGGAAAUAUCUCAGCGUCAAGUAUGGCUCCGCGUAUUUGUUAGGAGUUUCUCGGACUCGACCAGUUUUUCCGCUCUGUACGAAGUCUUUGUCCGAAGAGAACCACAAUCCAGUACGAGUCUCUUUAUAAGGAGACAUCUGAUCUUCGGGUACCCCGCAAUCCAAACUGAUGAACCCUGUUAAACAAUACAUGGUAAACAUUAACCAUUACAAAAACCAGCGCAAUUUAUGAGAACCAAAAUGUUUGAACACAUGGAUGUCUAUAGAGCAAAUAAGAAAUCUGAAACCUGUUUGGUCUUGAGCUUGAACAAUAUGAAUGAAGGCCAAAGUUAUCAGCACCAACAAAAGCCUAAAAGAACUCUCCAUAUUCUUUGAACUCCCAAGGAAAAACCAAGAAACCAAUGGGUGGAUACACUGUUGAAGAUGAACAACAAAUAAAUAAGCGAACAAAAUUCAUAAACUAAAAGAAAGACUUAGUCAGGUCAAUGGUGAAAAAGUCAAGUAAAUGUGUUUUCUAGUGCAGCUUCACCAAGGGAAGGGAAGGAGAUGAGGGUGGAGUGGUAAACUAAGGAGCGGACCAGCCAGCAAGCUAUCCUUCUUUGAUUAUUAUUGUUUUUGUUUUAUCCCCUUUGAAUAUCCUUCCCGUAGUUUUGUCUGCUCUCAGUAAUUUGUGAGUCUAGCUUAGGUUACUUAAUUAGUCUCUCUAACUAGUUUGUUUAAGAGAUGUUAGCCUCUAAUUAUUUUGUUUAAGGAAUCAUAAAAAUAUAUUAUUGUUAUUAAGUUUCUAUAGAGAUCAAGUGUCACGUUUGGUGCAAUACUUCCAAAGAAACUAUCAUACGCAAGGACAUGAAUUCAUGAUGCACGAAGAAAUUUUAGUAAUGUCAAGAGAAAAACUUGUUUAGAUUGCCCACAGGCAGCAAUGGAAGCACCGAAACUCGGCAAUAAGUCAGAGAGGACAGUAUUUUUUUUUCUUUUUUGGUGAUAGAAAAAAAAAGUGUUUUUGUUAUAAAAAAAAAGUGUAAUCGUUAAUCGUUAACUAAUAAAAAAAUGAUGCUGAAGAUAAACAACAAAUAAAUACACGAACUCAAGUCAUUCACAAAAGAAAGACUUUUCAUAAGUCAAUGGUGAAAAAUUGAGUAAAUGUGUUUUCUAAUGCAGUUUCACUAAGGAAAGAAGAUGACGAGGGUUAUUAAGAGGACAACAAUGUCCCAACAUCACUGACACUGACAUGAAGUUUUUCUUGGAUAUUGAAGGAUCGGACCAAGAAAGCAAUAAAUUGUCACUGUCCUUUUUGUUUUGUUUUUGUUUUCUUGACUUCUCUCAAUCCAAUUAUUUGUGAGUCUCUUAAGUAUAUAUUAUUUUCUUUUCUUUUCUUUAAGAAAUCUUAACAAUAUUCUUGUUCUUAAGUAGCAAAAACUAUUGAAAAUGGCUGAGUGAAUCAACAUCAAAGAAAAUAAUUUCAGACACGGAACCAUUAUCACAGACAAUGAACCUAAUAUACAAUCUGCAUAUGUUUCUUGGAUUGUUUUCUGUUGACAAAACUUCACCGUAUGACAGUCGGGGUAAAUCAUACACAAAAGAAAACCAAAUUACAGAGAAAAAUGAUACUUGAUAUGUCGGUGGUCUAAACAAAAUGAUAUUUUCGUGGGUACUUAAAGACACAAUUAUAUGAAGAAACCGAAAUAGCAGAAUUCGUGAUCAAUAAAAGCAGAAUAAGAUUUGUCGGACUUCGAGUUUUAUCUGUAAGACCAUAAACAGUUGCACACUUUAAUCAAUACUCUAAAACUAGCUUACAAAUUUUGCUUAAUAGCAUGUCACUAGUUUAAGUAUUGAUUACUUAUUAGUACCACAAGUAGACAACACUUGAAAAGUCAUCGUUCUCAUGAAGUUUUUUUCGUGGAAAAUAAGGAGCAGACCAAGAAGCACGUUAAGGAGUAAAGGGAGAAUCAAUAAUCUAAGACAAGGCCAAGAAGAAUUUUCUUUUCUUCGCUUGACUGCUCUCACAAAUUUUGUGAGUCUUGUAAGUUUAGCUAAAGUGAUUAGCCCAAUUAUUUUGUGUAAAAGUAGGGAGAUAAGUUAAAUAAGAAAUCACAGCCCACAUUCAGUUUUCUAGAGAACUUGAUUUGGGACAAGGUCACAUUUGGUGAUUUAGUUUCGUUGCUUAGCGAACAAAAGUAUCCAUAUCUCAUCAAAACCAAAAAGAGACAGUUCCCCUCCCCGUUAUGAAUUCACAAUGCACGAAACGCUAAGAAGUAGUCAAAUAUUAAUUGGUCGUUGACUUGGAUCAGUGAAGAUUAGAAGUAGAAAAAGCUUUGAAAUCCUAAACAAUGGUAUACCUAUAUAUACGCUGAUUAUUUUAUAACCCAAGAAACAUAAUGAAAGUUUGAAAUCCUAAUCGAAGUGAAUAUGCAUACAUUUCAUAGUUUCAAAGAAAAAACUCUUUCAUCUGUCUCAGUCAGUCGGUGGAUGAGAUUGCGAAUCUCCACUAGCAAAAAAACCUUCUACUGGGAUGUUAGGCUGCAAGGAGCAUUCCUUCAUUCCAAUGACUCCUAAACUGAAAAUUUCUAGUGAUCUCCUUGACGAUAGAGUGUACAUAUAUAUAUAUAUGAUCUGGAUACAUACAUCAAUGAUCAAAUUAAAGCAGAAUGAAAUUUGUUGACACCGAGUUUAUCUAUAAGAGUAUAAGACCAUAAACAGUUACACACUUAAAUCAACACUCUUUUAACUAGUUUACAAAUUUUGCUUAAUAUGUAACUAGUUUAAGUAUUGAUUACUUAUAACUACCACAAGUAGACAACACUCAAAACUAUCUUGCCAUGGGAACCACCGUAGUGUCCAAGUCAACGUUCAUUUCUUGAUAUUCCAAGCCCCCGUUCCUACUUAUCCCUGAGUUUUCACACACAAUACACUCUUUUAGCUCGCUAAUAACCUGAGACAUGGAUGGUCGUUUCGAGGAAGAUGGAUCCGCGCAUGACAUUGCCAGUUCAAGAGCUCUCCAAGCAGAGUUAAUAUCAUAAUCCUUGCCAAGGUUCAGAUCCAUAAUCUGGAGAAUAUCACCUCCGUUAAUCUGAAAGCCAACCCAUUGUGUUAUGUGAGAUAUUUCAGAGGUUUGAUUAAUCACGGGUUGGUUUGUGAUCAUCUCCAAUAAAACGAUCCCGAAACUGUAGACAUCACUCUUCUCACCCAAGCGACCUGAAUGGGCGUAUCUUCAAGACAAAAACAUUGUAUAUAUUUAUUAAACCUUGAAGAAUGAAAAGGUUUUAGAACAAGUUUUUGUGUAUAUAUGUUUAUAUGAAAAAAUAAUAAUACUUACUCGGGAUCAAGGUAUCCACGAGUACCAGCAAUCACUGUCGAUUCCUGAGAGUCGCCUCCACCUUGGAAAGACCUUGAGAGCCCAAAAUCAGCAAGUUUGGCCUUGAAAUUCUCAUCCAGUAAUAUGUUGGCAGUUUUGACAUCUCUAUGAACCAUCGGCGGUUUGCAUCCAAUAUGUAAGUACUCCAAACCUAUGCCAUGGGGUCAACUAUAUCAACUUAUUUGUUAUAAACUUCAUCAAAUUGUCCUACAGUUUUUAACUUAGUACGAACCUUGUGCUGCUUCCAAAGCUACUCGUAAUCGAGUACUCCACUUGAUAAUGGAUCCACCUCCCUUUCCUGUAUUGUUAGAUCCAUUCAAGUUUUCUGUGUUUCAUGAGCUAUUGCUACUAAAAUAUAUAUGUUUACCUGACAAAUGUUGCUUAAAGUCUCUAUUGGGCAUAAACUCAUAGAUGAGGGCCAAAUUAUCUCCUUCAUAACAAUACCCAACGAGGCUCACCAAAUUUGUAUGGUGCACUCUCAGAAGAAGAUCAACCU